UCAACACCCCUUUAGCCUUUCUUAUUUUCCCAAGUCUCCCGCCUUCUUUUCUAAUUUUUUAUUACUCCAUAAGUUUUGGAGUCUCUACUUGGAACACAUCGACCCCAAAAGACCAUCGACCAAAGCUUCGCCAAUAGUUUUAAGAUCUGUCUAUAUGGCUAGUACCGAGGUAGAGGGAGAUGUAGGAGUACCAGCUGGUAUAGAGGGAGACCCUCCCCUUUUGCUCAUGGCUGCACAGAUUCAUGAACGUAAAGAGCUGUUGAAGAUCAGAACUGCAGAGCUGUCCAGCAAAAGUGUAGAUGAGAUUGCUGCAGAAGUACGAGAGAGUGUUGAAGCUGUGGAAAGAGUGGUGCAAGGAGUGGUGCAAGCUGUGAAAAGAAUUUUAUCGGAGUCUGAAGCAAAGGGGGAGGAAGUGGUCUAUCUUUGCAGUAAUGUUGCGGCGGCUCUUAUGAAUCAUCAAGACUAAUUCUGUAUGGGAAAGUGUAUUUGGAGCAGAACUAGUUGCUAAGUAGAACUAGUUGCUAAGUUUCCCUCAUUGGGGAAAGGAUUUCUUCUUUCAUUUUUUUUUUUGGCGUCAUCUUUAGGUGCUAAUUUUCCCUCAGGGGGAAUUACUUCUUUUUUUGCGUCAUCUUUUGGUGGAGCAAUUAGUUGAAUGCUAGGGCUUCUCAAUUGCAAAUGAGAAUACUCUUUUUUUUUUUUGUGGAUAUGGAAAUGAAAUGCUUGGUUGAAAUGUUAUGGACCUACUCAGUAGGUUACCCGUAUGGGCUUUUUCUUUGAUACAAAUGUGUUUCAAAAUUAUGUGAGAACAUUAAUUUCUGUUCCUUACUUUAGAACGUUAAUUUCUGCUCCUUACUUUAAGAUGAAGCA